rnacentral:rRNA from 1 species
AGAGAGAGACAUGCGCGCAUAUCAAUAAGCGGAGGAAAAGAAACUAACAAGGAUUCCCCUAGUAACGGCGAGUGAAGCGGGAAGAGCUCAAAUUUGAAAUCUUAAGGGGUUUCCCUUUACGAAUUGUAGUUUAAAGAAGUGUUUUCUGUUGAGGUUUUGGUAAAAGUUCUUUGGAAUAGGACAUCAUAGAGGGUGAGGAAUCCCGUAUUUGACCUUUACUUUCAACUUUGUGAUACACUUUCAAAGAGUCGGAUUGUUUGGGAAUGCAGUCCAAAAUGGGUGGUAAAUUUCAUCUAAAGCUAAAUAUUGGCGAGAGACCGAUAGCGAACAAGUACCGUGAGGGAAGAGAUGAAAAGAACUUUGAAAAGAGAGUUAAACAGUACGUGAAAUUGUCAAAAGGGAAGCGUUUGACACCAGUGUUGUUUUUCUGAAAAUCAAUUAAAGAACUGUUUAUGCUAAGCUGUUUAGACUUUAUCAGCUAACUGUUUAGUUUUGAGCUUUUCUUUAAUGCACUUUUCAGUUAACAAGUCAACAUCAAUUUCUUUUGCUGUAAAAAAGCUUGAGGAAGGUGGCUUGAGAUUCGUCUUAAGUGUUUAUAGCCUCUUGCCUAUGCAGUCGGAGAGAUUGAGGUCUGCAGCGUAGAUCCUUCGGGGCUAAAUGCAUUUGUGCUAAGUUAUAGCAUUUUAUAGACAACUUGUUGACUAUGAUUUGUCUUGUAGCUUACUCGCUUAUGUUAUUUUACCUACGCUUAGGAUGUUGACGCAUGAGAUAUACGC